rnacentral:rRNA from 1 species
UACGUAGGGGGCAAGCGUUGUCCGGAAUCAUUGGGCGUAAAGCGCGCGUAGGCGGCCCGGUAAGUCCGCUGUAAAAGUCCAGGGCUCAACCCUGGAAAGCCGGUGGAUACUGUCGGGCUAGAGUCCGGAAGAGGCGAGUGGAAUUCCUGGUGUAGCGGUGAAAUGCGCAGAUAUCAGGAGGAACACCAAUUGCGAAGGCAGCUCGCUGGGACGUUACUGACGCUAAGGCGCGAAAGCGUGGGGAGCGAACAGG